UUACAGGUCUACACUCGUGGACUCACAUUAACACCCACUUGAGUGAGCCAGGCACUAUUGAGAUGCCAUGCUCUCCCGACUAAUAAUCUUACCUCGCGGUUGGCGCUACCUCUUCUGCCGAUGUAAACAUCCCAUGGUGUGACCGGCGGCUGUGUACAAGGACCGGGAACGUAUUCACCGCGCCAUGCUGUUGCCCUAUUACUAGCGAUUACGACUUCAUGCAUUCGAGUUACACACUGAUUUCCUAACUGAGACGCCCUUUUUCAAACUGGCUUACCCUCGCGGGUUCGCUGCUCAUUGUAAACACCAUUGCAGGACCUGUAGAACCCUGGACAUACAGGCCAUGAAGACUUGACCUCAUCCCCACCUUCAUCCGGCUUAUCACCAUCUUUCUUCCUAGAGUGCCCGGCAUGAUCCCCUCGCAUCUAAGAACAAGGGUUGCCCUCGUUUCAACACUUAUCCCAACAUCUCACAACACGAGCUGACUACCGCCAUGCACCACCUGUCACCAUGUCCCCGAAGGGAAACCUCCAUCUACGGAGCGGCCAUGGUAUGUCAACCCCAUGUAAAGUUCUUCACGUUGCGUCUAAUUAAGCACCCUCCCACACCCCUUGUGUCGGCCCCCUGACAAUUCCUCUGAAAUUUAGUC
rnacentral:rRNA from 1 species